CUCGUUGCUUUGUCGAUCAAUACUCGGUUUUUGCUUAUUAUUUUCGAAAAAAUAUGGUAAAUCGUAAUGAUCGUAUCAUUGAAUAAUAAUUCAUGACACAAGGAACACAAUAAUAUUAAUAAUUGUCAUAUAUAUGAUGGAAAAAGUAUUGAAAUUACAAGUUGAAAGAUAAUGCGCAUUAGAUGCCGGGUGCCGGUACAAGUUCUCGAACUUUCAGCACUGCGACGCCGCAUGCCUAUAUAAGAGAGCCGGCCGGCUUGCCUCGGCGCAUUCGUAAACAAACUUUCGUUCGGUUUGGACGCAGUGAACACCCGAAGACCCACUAACCAGUGAAUAUACCUCUACUUCUUUUACGUGGUCCACGAGGCUGCUGACAAUACGACGUGAAAAUGUAGACGAGACGGAUUCGGUGCGGAGCGCGACAGUUUACCUGCACCCUGCGGGGUCGGUGCUUGAACAAUCCGUACGCAACCAUAAUCUGAUUAGAGAGUUCGAAAUUUCUUCACACAUUUGAAGUAUUUAAGAAAAGCACUUCGAGUUAUAUGCAGUAGUUUAGAGCAGAUUCGUAGUUUGAAGUCGAAUAAAUCGUCGGCUUCGUCUUGUCGGAACGAAUACUCUACCACAAGAACAUAUGGAACUUUGGAGUCGAGAACGAAAAAUAAAAUCAAAACGGAACGGGAAAUAAAAGAAAAAAGGAACGUAAAAAGGCUCGGAAAAAAAAAAACGGAUCAUUUUCCUAGCGUCGAGCAGCAUCGAGCGAGUCCUUUGCUCGGGACUCACCACAACCACCACCACCACCACCACCGAGCUCUUCUCUCCAUCUUUUUACCUUUUUGGGUGCCGUGAUAGUUAAAACACCAUCUGAAGAUAGACUCGAGGUAAUGUUGAUCACGUCGUGAGAUGGAGGCAAGACGUAUCUGCGUAUGAAUUGUCGGCUGACAAAUCCGUGCUCGUCUUGUCUCUCCUCGUGUUUUGCUUCGACAAUAACGUUAUUACCGACCGUCUUCACCGUAAUCUCUUCCGGUGAGAAUUGUUGAACAUCCAGUAUUACCUGUGGAGAUCAGAGCAGAACAAUUGAGACAGGCCCGAAGUUUAAAAGGUCGAGCAGGGAGAUAUCUUUUAUUGGAGCACGAUGUUACGUGUAACGAAUAUGAUAUUUCAAACAGGCAAUAAGAGAGAUCUGAACGACCGUUGAGAAAACGCAUCCAUUCCACAUCCGAUUCUGGCCUCGCAUCUUAUAAUAUACCAUUGAUUCUAUUAAAUCAUCAUUUAUUGCGAAAAUUUCAAAUAUCAAGCUUUUUCAUCACCGAUUCAGGGAAAGGCUAAUUCUUUUGAAUUAACGCCGCUUUAAGCAAAUGAAGUUCAUCUUCGCCUGCUAUUGAAAACCUACGUUUAGAAUUUAACACGUUAGGCAGUCUGUGUCUAUAUUUCGAAAUAACAGAUUUUUCCUUCUCUGAAAGAUCCCUAAAUGUCCAGUUAUUGGAUAUAAAUUUGCAGUCAGCUAUUAGCUACAAUACGCACAACCUUUCUAAAAAUCUUCUGUAAUAAUCACUUUAAUAAGUAUUUGACAGAAAAAAGUAAAACAGUGAAAAGUAUAAAAAAAAAAAUCCGUUCUUCCGGUAAAUUCGAGUUAUCCAUAUGCAAAAUAGACGAGCCACGAGGCUCGUUGGCGUUUAAAAAAUAUGAAUACAUAUUAGAAAAAAAUGUAGAAAAGUAGUUUGUUUUUCUAUUUUCUACUGGUUGCAAAGUUUCGCUUAUUUCCUUUUUUUUUUAUACAUACAUACAUAUAAAUAUAUAUAUAUAUAUAUCUUUUCAUAUGACAUCUGCGUUUUCUUAUGUUGAUUCUAAUAUAGAAGUAACCGUUGUGACGAGCAAACCGGAAAGAUGUAGUUAAAAAACAAGCCUACUGUAACAUCUUUUCUCUUUUUUUUUCUAUUCGCAGAAAAGACAAGCAAAAUAUGCAAGUAGGUGGAAUGAUUUUUUAUUAUUGAGCAAAAACAAACAGAAUUGCUGUGUUGAGACUUUAUUUUAAAAACAAAUUAUCUUGUGAUUAGCAGUUCCAAUUUAAAGAAGGUUGUAAAAAGGAGAGAAAAAAGAAGGAAGAUAUAAAAUAUAUAAAAGAAAAGCCGUGAUUUUUUCGGGUGAUUCUUAUAUGAUCCCAAAAUCCGAUGAGACUUGAAAGUUAAAAAUAGAAAAAGAAUCUGUAUAGUGAUGUACGAAACACCUUCGCUUUCUUUCUUUUGAGCAAAGUAGCAAAAGACCAAUAAAAACAGAUUUUAAAUCUCCAGUGCUGCUGCAUAUUGUAUUACAGAGAGGGAGAGAGGGAGAGAAAGAGAGAGAGAGAGAUUGCGCACUUGCAUUUUUGUACAUAUAGAAUAUUUCGUAUUACAAGAUAUUUGAAUCGUUUUCUAUCGUUGAUGAUUCGAGAAGCAUUUAUUUUUAUAUAGAGAUUAUUAUAUAUAAAAAAAGAGAGAUCCGAAAAUUUUAAAGGAAAGCCGAAUUUUUUAAUCCGAGAGCGGCGCCCCCAUUUAAGGGGGGUGCUCUGACACACACCUCACACUUUCUCGGUUCUUUCUGUAAACAAAGAGAAAAAAAAAAAAAAGAAGACUGAUGAUACUUAUGUGACACGAUCCAUUUUUCGGAUUUAAAUGAGAAGAAAAGUCGUCCUUUGAAUAUUACAAGAUAUUUGGCAUCGUUUGUUAAACGGAACAGAAAAUCCUUUCGUGAAUUAAAAAGAAAAAAAGUAAAAAAAAAAAAGAAAAAAAAAGAAAAAAAGAAAAUGGCGAAAGCCUGUUAAACUGUGAUUUUUAGGAAGGAAUUUCCGGUAAAAAAAAAAAAGCGUGUGUCUAUCGGAAAAUAAUCGCAUGUACGUUCGGUGUGUGUAAAACAUUUCUUUUGUUACAAAAUUUUAAUAAUUUUUCGCUACUCGAGUCAUUUUGAAGAAAAGUAAUUUUCGAGACCUGACUGCAUCCUACCAAAAUACCCUUUAAAGCCCCCUCUUUGAGGGGGGGGGGUCUCAUUUACUCAAAACAAAGAACCAAUAACUAACAUAUAUAAUAAUCCCGAAAAACGUUCUGAAUCUUUACACCACUACGCAAAGCUGUGAACCAUUUGAAAAGAGAAAGAGGGGGUUUUACGGUGAAGAGAGAUCGAUUUUUAAAAUUUUUUAAAAUUCUUGUACGACAAACAAGAUAAAAAGAAAAAAAAUUAAUUAUGCAGCCGGCAAAGAACAUGCUAAGGAUAAACAGCAGCAGCAGCAGAAGCAGUAGUAGUAAUAGUAGUAGUAGUAAUGGCAGAAACAGAAAUCGGUUUUCGGGCCUUCUGGUGUUCCAGUUCUUUCAUUCAUUUCGUUAAUUAUAUUUCCUGAAAAUUGUAUUUUUUUUUAUUAUUAUUAUUAUUUCGUUUCUUUAGUUAUAAUUGCUUUUAAUUCAAUGGUUAAAUCGCUUCGUUAUAAUAAUCUUGCGUUAGAACGUUGCAUUGAAAUUAUUACUUUUCUAUCAUAAAGUAUUUUAAGAUAUUUUCUAUUAUAAUAUUUUUUAGUUAAUUUUUUUUUUUUUUUUUUCAUUUGGUUCCAGUUUCCCUUUUCUUAUCCUUGAUAAGCACUUAGACACACACCCUCUUCAUUUGUUUCUCUUUGUAUUCCUUUUACGAAUGCGCUUUUUUCUUUCCAACUUCCUUUACACCCUUUCCUUACAUUCCUAACUAAAUUUCUAGGUCUUGAAAAUAAUAUCGAUACAAAUUGAAAUUUCGAAACACGAAAUUUUUUUUUUUUUUUUUUCCAUUCGGUUUUUUGUCCUAGACACGCGUAUAUAUAUACAUACAUGUAAUACGUUCCGUACUUAUUGGACGACACCUAUGACAAAAAUCUAUAAACAACAAUAAAAAAAAAAAAAAGGUUAUCACUUUAGAUUGUCUCAGCCUAAGUUAAUCGAUCAUUAAUCCGCGAAAUAGUGGAACAAAUAUUUCGCUCACUGUAUUAAAAAAACUCCAAUUGCACGAUAUUAUGAAAAAUAGAAAAAAUGGGCCAGUAAAUGUUUAGCCUGCUCUAUUCGAAUGUAUUAAAAUUAUCGAACGUAUUUAGCUUGUGGCGAUAUAAAAAAAAAAAAAAAAUAUAUUGUUACUUAAAAAGCUUUCUAAAUAAUUCCUCGAACUAAGAGUUACUAAGUUACAACGGUUACUUAUAAAGCGCAAAGAAAUGAAAUAACUUGUAUUUGCCGUAGAAGAAAGUAAUUGGAGUAAGAAAGAAAAAUAUAAGAGAAAAAGAUAAUCGAGUAUAUGCGGUGUAGUUUAAAAGUUCAGGCGUUUUAUCCAGUUCGAAUUGUCAUAAAUACCGAUACGUAGUAACGACCAAAAAAAAAAAAAAAAAAUAAAAAAAAAAAACUUGAUCUUCGAAUAAGCUUUGUAAUAAAAGUGUGUGUAUAUAUUUAUACAUAGUAAUUUUUUAAAAUUAAUUUCUAGAAGUUUGCCUUUUUUUUUUUCUUUGCUAUUUAUUUUCUCAAUUCUUGAGACUGUUCUUGAUCGAAUUUUUCCUUAUAUCUUUCUUUUCUCGAGUUUGUUUUUUCAACUCGUUUCAAGCAACUUUCCAAAUUUAAUUUAACGCUCGACAGUAUUAUUAUUAUUCGUUAUAAUAAUUCGUUUUCACUCGAUUCCAAAAAUCAAUCUCGUUAAUAAUUAACUUUUUACAGUUAACUUUUACAGUUUAAGACCAACAACGACUAUCCCAUCGCUUUCUUGCUUCCUUGCACGAAAGUCGUGGGAUAGUCGUUGUGAAUAUAUUUGUGGUGCUAUAAUAAUGAUACAAGAAUAUUUAAGGUUCGGUGAAUUUCCAAAAUCCAAUCAAAUAAUAGCAAUAAAAAAAUUAUAAUAGAGCGUUAAAUUCCAACAAAUUUCAAGCACAGUGGGUGUUAUAGCAAAGUUGCUCCAAGUCGUGUCGUUUAUAUAUCAUUCGCAUAUAUCGAGCUUCGAAAAGCGCUCCUAUAUCUUCGAAAUCUUUUACAAGAAGCUUCAUCCAGGUUUAAGGAACCAAAAUUGUCUUUUAGGCAACUUAUAAUAUUAAGUAUCUUCCUUUGACGAUAAUAAGCGAAAUCGAGGAAUAACGAUCAAAGUUUUCAUUUUGUAAAUCAUUUGAACAAAGCACUUCACUCUCUCUCUCUUUUUUUUUUGUAUUAUUUUUUUUUUUUGGCCUAAUUCAAUCAACACACCACAUUAAUUUUCAAUUUUUUUUUUUUUUUUUAAAUUCUCCUCUUCUAUAGGAUUCCAUACGUGGAAUUCUAUGGAAGACGAGAAAUAAUCUAUCUUCCUUGCAACAUACGCUUUUCAGCCUAUGAUGUAAAAGUAAUAUUUUCCAAUACGAAAUUCUUGAAGUGAGAAAAACCUUAAUCGAAGGCAAACUCGGUGAUUGAUAUCGAAAAGUCGUGAUCAUGAUCGAAAGGUUCCCUAUUAUAAUAAUACAAAGUACAGUUUGAGAUCAUAUUUUGUACAUCGCAUUCAACUAUAUAAAGGUUCCCUAAAGUUGUGUAGAGUGAAAUCGUACGAGUAAAACGUAAAAUUGAAAAUUGCGCGUUAAUUAUGCGCCUCGAACAACGAUUUUGUGUAUAACGACGUAUAUCUGAGAUUGACAAUUUCCAGAGAUCAUCGAACGAGUCUCGAAUGAAUUGGAAUGGAAAAAUAAUCGAGUAACGAUGAAACGUAUCCUCCAUAUUCGACACACGCAUAGGUUACUUGCUUAGCCCUAAGAUUGACGUUUCCGUCAAUGGAAGGAAAUUAAUACUAACGCACAAGUUCGUUUGUUGCAAGCAAAAUUUAUAUGAAAAUAGUGAUAGUAUAAUAUACUCGUCAAGUUAUCUGAGAAAGUGUGCCAAUUAAUAAAUUGUUCCGUUUUGAAGUAUAAAGUAUUAAAAUUUAAAUAAAUCGCAAAACGAUUAUCCUGUAAUUAUCAGUUUUUUGGUGGUGACAUAAUAUUAGGAUAUAAUAUCGAUUAUUAAUAUUUUUCGAUUCGACAAUACCGAGUAAUACUUAAUUAACCGUAGUCUUCCAGGAGAUCACAUUUGAUCCGUAUCCAUAGUUAUCACUCGAACCAAACGGUACUCGUAACCAUACCUAUUGUCCACCGACAAUUGGUGUGGUUCGAUACCAUCGAGUGAUAACUAUGGAUAUAGUUCGCGAUUCUCUAUAAGCAAUAGUAUGUCAAUACUACAAGCGAAUUAAUCGACUCUUGAAAGAUGAAGAAACGACAAUACUAGAAACAGCAAUAUGUCUCCACUCCACUGAUUCGCGAAUUGAUAGCGAAAAAUUAAAAAAAAUCAGAACCGAAUCUAUAUCCACUUUCAUCAUUGGAAUCAUUCUUCUAAUCGUCGCACGAAGAAAUAAAUUAUAUGACAAGUCGAAUAAAAUCCAAUAAGAUCCAACAAGAAUCUUGCAACUCAUUCGAUACACAUGCAUGCAUCAUCAUCCCUUAGGGCUUUGCAAGUCUCCGAAAUUCAAUUUGUGAUAAGAAAAAAGGGCUAGUGAUCAAGUUGCACGAUUUUGUUUUUUCGCAUGUUCGUUGAAACAUCCGAGAAGAUGAUUGCCGGGGUAAUUUUAACGUGUCUUUUACCAACCUGGAAGUUGUCCUUAUUGUCGAGUUGAAUCGUGCUGGAUCCGCUCGAGGGUUGACCUGUCACGUUACUCCAUGGACGGUAAUACCUAUCGCGAAAUAUCGAGCGUAGAGGUCUAUCGAAGUUGAUAUCGGAAAACCGUGAUAACAAGUCGUCUCGAUUCAGUCCUCUGCCGAAGUGUUGGUCCAUCAAUCGGGACACUGGACGUUCGAAAUCGUCCCACCAAUCGCGAAAUAUCAGAGGCACGACCGACAUCUGAAACAGUUUAAAUAUAGAUAUAAAAAAAAAAAAAAAAAAAAUCGGUGAAUAUCGGUCAGUUCUUACUUUUUCGAUUCUUUUUCGAUAAGACGGUAGUAUAAAUGGAUAAAAGUAAACGGAAAAGAAUUAAGGAAAAGGAAGAUGGAGACGUUAUGUUAAGUAUUAUUACCUAGUUGAACGUGUACUCACCACGAUUUAUAACACGCGAAUGGAAGUUUGACAAAUUAAAAGUUAAGCUGUAAGCAAUUUUUACUUAGGAACGUGCUAAGGAGAUUCUUUUGAGCUUAAAAUCUUAAUCCAACUAAAAUCAAUUUGCACGCCUGUCGUCACAGCUAUUAAAGAACACGAUUUAGAUUUACUUUGGACAACGGUUGCAAUUAGUAAUAAUCUUGAUAAUGAAACGCAAAACUUUAUACACAUGACGUAAUUCGAAGAUUUUAGGAACUUCACUUUCGUCGCGAGUCUUUUAAUAACGAUUCAAGGAUAAACGAAAGAGAUGUUCCUCGAUAAUAUGAAAAAAAAAAAAAAAAAAAAAAAAUAU